CCCUUAGAUGUUCUGGGCCGCACGCGCGCUACACUGAUUCAUGCAACGAGUUUUGUCCUUGGCUGAAAGGCCUGGGUAAUCUUUGAACGUGAAUCGUGCUGGGGAUAGAUGAUUGCAAUUAUUCAUCUUCAACGAGGAAUUCCUAGUAAACGCAAGUCAUCAGCUUGCAUUGAUUACGUCCCUGCCCUUUGUACACACCGCCCGUCGCGCCUACCGAUUGAAUGGUCCGGUGAAAUCUUCGGAUCUGAGAGAUGUUGGAUUAAUUUCUGACGCCUUUUGGAAAAGUCGCUUAAACCUUAUCAUUUAGAGGAAGGUGAAGUCGUAACA
rnacentral:rRNA from 1 species